CAGUAGCCGCGGUAAUACGUAGGGUGCAAGCGUUAAUCGGAAUUACUGGGCGUAAAGCGUGCGCAGGCGGUUAUAUAAGUCAGAUGUGCAAUCCCCGGGCUCAACCUGGGAACUGCAUUUGAGACUGUAUGGCUAGAGUGUGUCAGAGGGGGGUAGAAUUCCACGUGUAGCAGUGAAAUGCGCAGAUAUGUGGAGGAAUACCCAUGGCGAAGGCAGCCCCCUGGGAUAACACUGAUACUCAUGCACGAAAGCGUGGGGAGCAAACAGGAUUAGAUACCCGAGUAGUCCCUGUCUCUUAUAC
rnacentral:rRNA from 1 species